rnacentral:rRNA from 1 species
UACGUAGGGUGCAAGCGUUAAUCGGAAUUACUGGGCGUAAAGCGUGCGCAGGCGGUUUUGUAAGUCAGAUGUGAAAUCCCCGGGCUUAACCUGGGAACUGCGUUUGAAACUACAAGGCUAGAGUGUGGCAGAGGGGGGUGGAAUUCCAGGUGUAGCGGUGAAAUGCGUAGAGAUCUGGAGGAACACCGAUGGCGAAGGCAGCCUUCUGGGCCAACACUGACGCUCAUGCACGAAAGCGUGGGGAGCAAACAGG